UCCAUACUCCUAUUUCCCCCAUCUCGCCUGUUCUUCUUCUUCCCCUCCCCCAAGCAAACGAGAAGGAUCAAUGGCCGCUCGGAUCACGAGGCUGCUCCACCACCACAACCGCCGCCUCCUCGCCACCGCGGCAGAGGCCUCCGCUCGUCGCCUGCCGCGCGCUCCACUUGGCGGCGCCAUCUACAAGGAUGUUGCAAAGGCUGAAGCAUCCUCUUUAAAAAAAUUCAAGGUGGUACAUGACCAAGUCAAGCCCUUCUAGUCCUCUGACAAUGCAGGAGUACCGCAAAACAUUUCCUUCUUUAAUAAGGUCAUCUGCAUCUUACUCCUCACAAGCUUCAGACCAAAAUCCCAAAGAGG